rnacentral:rRNA from 1 species
CAGCCGCCGCGGUAAUACGAAGGGGGCUAGCGUUGUUCGGAUUUACUGGGCGUAAAGGGCGUGUAGGCGGACUGAUAAGUCAGGGGUGAAAUCCCAAGGCUCAACCUUGGAACUGCCUUUGAUACUGUUUGUCUUGAGUUCGGGAGAGGUAAGUGGAACUGCGAGUGUAGAGGUGAAAUUCGUAGAUAUUCGCAAGAACACCAGUGGCGAAGGCGGCUUACUGGCUCGAUACUGACGCUGAGGCGCGAAAGCGUGGGGAGCAAACAGGAUUAGAUACCCCAGUAGUCCCUGUCUCUUAUAC